rnacentral:lncRNA from 1 species
ACAGAACUCCGCCGACUGCAUGAAAAAUUGAAAAUUGAUCUCAAGAUGAGCUAGCCAUGUUUUCCUUCAGAAAUCUAAAUGAUUCUGGUGAGACAAUCUGGCUUCAGUCUGGGUCCUUUGUAUAUUGCCGGUUUUUGUAAUGAAUUUUUCAAUUUAAAGUGCCCCUCUCAUUUCAAAGUUGGUUGAUAGUAGUGUGCUAUGUGCCCUCAAUCCUCAUAAUUGAUUUAACCUCACCCAAAUGGACCAAUUAGAUCAUUUAAGAUGCUCAUGAGUAGGUGCGGCAUCUUACUUUAAUGAAAAAAAAACAUAAAUAAGUGAAGAUCUGCAUUCUAGAGUCACUAAGAGCAUCUCCAAUGGAGUCCUUAUUUUGGGAUCUUAAAAUAAGAUUCGGAUCUUAUUAGAUUUCACCAUUUGAGUUAUCCUACAUGGCAUGAGAUCUUAGCUUUUGCUAAGAUCCGUGCUUUAGCUCAGGUCCUCUCAAAUCUGAGAUCUUAAAUAAAAUCUGAGAUUCAGUCUGGGUCCUUUGUAUAUUGCCGGUUUUUGUAAUGAAUUUUUCAAUUUAAAGUGCCCCUUUCAUUUCGAAGUUGGUUGAUAGUAGUGUGCUAUGUGCCCUCAAUCCUCAUAAUUGAUUUAACCUCACCCAAAUGGACCAAUUAGAUCAUUUAAGAUGCUCAUGAGUAGGUGCGGCAUCUUACUUUAAUGAAAAAAAAACAUAAAUAAGUGAAGAUCUGCAUUCUAGAGUCACUAAGAGCAUCUCC